rnacentral:rRNA from 1 species
CCUACGGGCGGCAGCAGUGGGGAAUAUUGCACAAUGGGCGCAAGCCUGAUGCAGCCAUGCCGCGUGUGUGAAGAAGGCCUUCGGGUUGUAAAGCACUUCCAGCGGGGAGGAAGGCGGUGAGGUUAAUAACCUCAUCGAUUGACGUUACCCGCAGAAGAAGCACCGGCUAACUCCGUGCCAGCAGCCGCGGUAAUACGGAGGGUGCAAGCGUUAAUCGGAAUUACUGGGCGUAAAGCGCACGCAGGCGGUCUGUCAAGUCGGAUGUGAAACCCCCGGGCUCAACCUGGGAACUGCAUUCGAAACUGGCAGGCUAGAGUCUUGUAGAGGGGGGUAGAAUUCCAGGUGUAGCGGUGAAAUGCGUAGAGAUCUGGAGGAAUACCGGUGGCGAAGGCGGCCCCCUGGACAAAGACUGACGCUCAGGUGCGAAAGCGUGGGGAGCAAACAGGAUUAGAUACCCUAGUAGUC